UACAGAGGGUGCAAGCGUUGUUCGGAAUCAUUGGGCGUAAAGGGCGCGUAGGCGGCUUGGCAAGUGGAUGGUGAAAUCCCUCGGCUUAACCGAGGAACUGCCGUCCAAACUGCUUUGCUUGAGACCGGGAGAGGUGAGUGGAAUUCCCAGUGUAGCGGUGAAAUGCGUAGAUAUUGGGAGGAACACCAGUGGCGAAGGCGGCUCACUGGACCGGUACUGACGCUGAUGCGCGAAAGCGUGGGGAGCAAACGGGG
rnacentral:rRNA from 1 species